UGGUGUGUAACUCAUGUGGUAGAGUAAUAAGCUUUUAACUUAUAAGGGGUUGGUUCAAAUCCAAUCACACCAA
rnacentral:tRNA from 1 species